CUGGAAUGUAGAAAAGCACACCGAGUUCUGAUCUCAGACUCAUUGCUCUUCUCCCUCCUUCCCUCUGCUACCUUUUCAAGUUUUAAUCCAAAUGCAUAGACAUCACAUCCGCCGCAACCGAAAAUCGAAGAUGUACGGAACAAUGUCCGCUGAGAUGACGGUUGAUGUACCCACAACCGAAGCGUGGAAGCUCUACGGAACUCUACAGCUCCCCAAAGUGGCGGAGGAAGCCAACUCCGACUUUAUCAGCCGGUCGACGUCGUCCAAGGGGACGGCAGCACCGGAACCAUUCUCGAGGUUGUUUUCCGUCCAGAGAUGGGAGGGGGAAUAUAGUCGUUCAAGGAGAAAUUCAUGGUGGUGGAUAACGAGAAGCGUGUGAAGGAGGCAGAGGUUGUGGAAGGUGGAUUUCUAUAUCUAGGGUUUACGCUAUAUCGUUUGAGAUUCAAUGUGAUAGAGGUAGAGGGAAACGAGA